rnacentral:rRNA from 1 species
AUGAAGGAGGCAAAAUGGCAGCUUUAUCAUGGUUGUACCAAGCUUUCAAGGUUCUCCUUUGUGGUAAAGCUUCUUCACUUGAAGUCAUACCAUAGGAUCCCGAAUAGUGCAUUUACUGAAAUUUUGAAGCUAUUAGCUGAAGCAUUCCCUGAACCCAAUACGCUCCCAAAAUCUUAUAAGGAAGCAAAGAACCUUCUAAAGGAAUUAGGCCUUGGGUAUGAGUCUAUACAUGUGUGCUUCAAUAAUUGCAUUCUGUUCAGAAAGCAAUAUGCCAAUCAUGACAAUUGCCCAGUUUGUGGCCUAUCAAGGUGGAAAGAUCCUGCUAGAAAGAAGAUUCCACAGAAAGUGUUGAGGCAUUUUCCAUUGGUGCCUAGGCUAAAGAGGAUGUUUCUUUCCAAAAAAGGCGCAGAAGAAGCACAAUGGCAUGAGCUAAAGAGGCAGCCCAAUGAGAAGGAACUGAGUCAUCCAAAAGACGGUGAUGCGUGGAAAGAUUUCGAUGAAAAAUUUCCAGAAUUUGCAGAAGAUUCCAGAAACUUUAGGCUUGGCAUUGCCACUGAUGGGUUCAAUCCUUUUGGAAAUUUUAACACAACCUAUAGUAUGUGGCCUGUAUUUGUUAUACCAUACAACCUUCCACCUUGGGCAUGCAUGGAUCAGUCAAAUUUUAUGAUGGCUCUGCUGAUUCCAGGUCCCAAAUCACCCGGCAAGCACUUCGAUGUCUUUCUACAACCACUUGUGGAAGAAUUACUUGAGCUCUGGGAGGGUGUACGUACAUAUGAUGCUCUUAGUGGAAAAAUGUUUGAUCUUCAUGCUGCAGUUCUAUGGUGCAUUCACGAUUACCCAGCUCUGAGCACUCUUUCAGGGCAUACCACAAGAGGCUAUUGUGCAUGUAUUCAUUGUGACAAACACCCACUUUCUUACAGCCUAAGGAGUAAAAUUGGGUAUAUUGGUCACUAUCGUUUCCUUCCAAGGGGUCAUCGUUUGCGGAGAAACAAUGAAUUUGUUGGUCUUCAUGAAAGCAAUGAUGAGCCAGGUAAAUUCUCUGAGAAAGAGUUGCAAGCAGAAUUGGAGAAGGUUAGACCUGGGAGACAACAAGAAAGUAGAAAAAGGAAGCGUUCUGACUUGGGCAGCAAGAAGGAUCAUGCACCAAUUUGGGGCCGGCGGGUUUGUUUGUGGGAUUUGAAGUACUGGGCAAAGUUGAAGAUGAGACACAAUCUUGAUGUCAUGCAUAUUGAGAAAAACAUUUGUGAAAACCUCGUUGGGACAAUUCUGAAUCUGGAGGGUAAGACAAAGGACACACUUAAUGCUAGGAUUGAUCUCAAAGAUUUGAAUAUUAAAGAGGAGUUGCAAUUGAGGAAGGAGGGAGACUCAUAUGUGAUGCCUCGGGCCCGAUAUACCUUGUCCAAAGAACAAGUUGUUGCAUUUUGUCAAUUUUUACGAGAGUUAAAGUUUCCAGAUGGGUUUGCUUCCAACAUCUCAAGAUGCACAAGUGCUGAUGGAACCAAGGUACAAGGCCUGAAAACACAUGAUUGUCACAUUCUUCUGCAGAGAAUCUUACCUGCUGGCAUGAGAGGAUUUUUGGACAGUGAUAUAUAUGAAGCAAUAGCUGAGUUAGGCAAGUUUUUCAGAGAACUGUGCAGCAAAACUCUUAAUAGGGAUGUCUUGGCCAAAAUGAAGAAGGAAAUCCCUGUAAUUUUGUGCAAGCUUGAGAAAAUUUUCCCGCCUGCAUUCUUUGAUGUGAUGGUGCACCUUGCCGUACAUUUACCUGAAGAGGCAUUGCUUCGAGGUCCCGUACAAUAUGGGUGGAUGUACCCAGUUGAAAGAAGGCUAUAUACUUUAAAGCGCUAUGUGAGGAAUAGGGCGCGACCAGAGGUUCGAUUGCUGAGGCAUAUAUUGCAGAUGAAUGCCUGA